rnacentral:rRNA from 1 species
UGAGCCAAGUUUAGGGUUUUCUCAAAACCCAAGCAGUAUUGAACUGAAGAGUUUGAUCAUGGCUCAGAUUGAACGCUGGCGGCAGGCCUAACACAUGCAAGUCGAGCGGAUGAAGGGAGCUUGCUCCUGGAUUCAGCGGCGGACGGGUGAGUAAUGCCUAGGAAUCUGCCUGGUAGUGGGGGAUAACGUCCGGA